rnacentral:rRNA from 1 species
GACGAACGCUGGCGGCGUGCUUAACACAUGCAAGUCGAACGGAAAGGCCCGGCUUUUGCUGCGCGCUCGAUUGGCGAACGGGUGAGUAACACGCGAGUAAACUGCCCUUGACUGUGGGGUAACACCUGGAGACUGCGGCUAAUAUCGCAUAGAAUCUCUUGCUGCACGUUGGUGGAUGGAAAGUGUCGGCGGUGGUGGAUGGACUCGCGGCUUAUCAGCUUGUUUGGGGGGUAGUGGCUUACCAAGGCUUUGACGGGUAGCCGGCCUGAGAGGGUGACCGGCCACAUGGGGACUGAGAUACGGCCCAGAAGCGAACGGGAGGCAGUGGUGGGGAGUAUUGCGGAACGGGCGGAAGCCUGAUGCAGCAAUGCCGCGUGCGGGAUGCCGGCCUUCGAGUUGUAAACCGCUUUCGCCUGUGACGAAGCGUGCGUGACGGUAAUGGGUAAAGAAGCACCGGCUAACUACGUG